UGCCAGCCGCCGCGGUAAUACGAAGGGAGCUAGCGUUGUUCGGAAUUACUGGGCGUAAAGGGCGCGUAGGCGGUCAUAUUAGUUAGGCGUGAAAGCCCUGGGCUCAACCCAGGAAUUGCGUUUAAUACUGUAUGACUAGAGAUCGAGAGAGGAUAGCGGAAUUCCAAGUGUAGAGGUGAAAUUCGUAGAUAUUUGGAAGAACACCAGUGGCGAAGGCGGCUAUCUGGCUCGAUACUGACGCUGAGGCGCGAAAGCGUGGGGAGCAAACAGGAUUAGAUA
rnacentral:rRNA from 1 species